UGCACAGCUGCGCGAGAGGAGCUGCCCUCCUGUCCUGGAGCAGCCUGCCUUGGAGGCAGACAUUUUAGAUCUGGCCUUUGCUUACUGCAACUCGGGUUCUUCAGGCAAUCAGCACUCGUGGCUGCUGGGUCAGCUGUACCAAGGCAGCGUUGGGUCGCACUGUGGCUCUCAGGACACCCUUUUGCCUGAAAGACUUUCUCAUCCCAGAUGGCCAUCACUGCACUUCGCAAGCGCAUGUGGUAUACAAGUUUCUGCAGCAGGAAAAAGCUAUGGCGUGGCCAGAAUCAAACCACAAUCUCCAGUAUCAACAUGCAGCACAAACGAGGUUGGAGGCAAGAAUUUCUCACCAGGUGCAGAAUUGCAAAGUUUCAGAGCAAGGGUUUCAAAAAGAGGGAUGAUAACCUGGCACACUCUCCUCCUUUAGCCACUAGACAACGUUCAGUCACUAGGACCCAGCUGAAGAUCACAAGCCUCCACAGAUGUAAUCCCAAUUAAAUCUCAAUGAGAUAUCCAUGUCACAGUUGGGACAGACACAUCUCGGUUACCAAAUGCUGGGCUCCGAGGACCCACUACAGGCAUCCCAGAGACAAACUCUCCUUUGAUCAACAGAAACCCACAGCCAAGCUCAGCAGAUCCAGAUCAACUUCCUACGCUGUGGUCAGGCUCAUUCCUUUGAGACCCAGAGGCCUCCUGGGGUAGGGCUGAAGUUGUGCCUGACGCACAGUGGAGGCAAACUCUGGGAUUCCCUUUACACACAGGCAGCCUGACCACAGCGAUGGCAGCGUCAAAGCUCCGACCUGGGAAGAGGGUAAACAAACACGGCACGUGACUGGCCUGACGUCCUACCCUGGCAGUUCUCCCAGGAAUUACAGCAUCGCCCAUGCUCCUGCCCCCACGCUUUCCCCACAAAUCCCAGCCUGCUGCUGGUCUUAUUGGGUGUUUUGUUGCAGAUACUGCUGCUACAAUCUCAGCCGGGCAGCAGGAGGGAGAGACAGACUAACAGAUCAGCAUUCCCUAGUUUCAAGCACAAUUUGUAACACAGCAGAAUUUAUUCUCUUGGUUUCUCUGAUGUCAAUCUGGAGUAGUUCCCACUGACUUGAGCUGAUCUAUAUUCUGUUCUUCAUUAUAGCGGUCUGGGUUUGGUUAAAUGGUGUUAGAUUGGGUUAAAUGGAAACAAAAUAGGCUUCUAGUAAGUUCAAAAUAUACCUUGCUCUCUUUCAGAGCAGAAAAGUGAAGAGGCAUGUGCGUGCACAGGGGAGAAAAGCACAGGAGGACACGCAUCUCCUCUAGGUUCCCUUUACAUUCAGGUAGCCGUGCUGAUAACUUUUUA